GUGCUCGCUUCAGCAGCACAUAUACUAAAAUUGGAACGACAUAGAGAUUAGCAUGGCCCCUGUGCAAGGAUGAUUAUUUCUUUGGAAGAAACAUAUACCUUACCA